CAUCCAUUUAAAGAUGACAAAAAACAAUAUACUUACCUCUGCAACCACAAACAAACAAACCAAGGAACCACAACAGACAGUGGAUCAAGCUUCAUCAAGGCAUUCAAUGUUUUUGGUGAGCAGGUCCAAGCAGUCGAGUCAGCAGACCGGGACUCAGAUGCUGAAGAGCCAGCAGAGCAGGUUGAAUACCAAAAAUGACAGUGGCCUAGAAUAUCAACUCCCUCGGCAUCAACGGUGUGCAUGUCACCUGCUGAACCUCAUUGCAAACAGCCAAUUCUGCAUUGGCAGAAACAAAUAGUGAUGGCUACAAAAAGUUGUCCAGGUGGUCUUUUGCCAAAUGCCAAGCCAUGUGGAAUGAAAUGGAGCGGUCAAAUUUAGCUGCUGCAGUUGUAGAGACUGAGUGCAAACUGCAGUUGAUCCGUCCAAAUCAAACACGUUGGAACUCAACUUACCUGGCUGUGGAGAGGAUCACACGUAUCAUACAAGAGAAGGGGGAGGAUGCCAUAAGAAAUGUGUGAAUUAAAAGUGAAAAUGCUGAGCCCGGCAAAAAUGUCUAUCUUGAAUGAGUACUUCAAAGUGAUGAAGCCUUUGGUCCCAGCUUUGAACAUUCUACAGUCUGAGACCAACAGGCUGCUGCCAGUGAUCUUUUUUUAAAACUUUUUUUUUAAACCUUUAUUUAACCAGGCAAGUCAGUUAAGAACAUAUUCUUAUUUUCAAUGACGGCCUGGGAACAGUGGGUUAACUGCCUGUUCAGGGGCAGAACGACAGAUUUGUACCAUGUCAAAUCAGGGGUUUGAACUCUUGAACUUCUUACUAAAUACAAAACUUUAAAGGCUGGAAGCAUCUUGCCAAAUGUGCCUACCACUUAUCAGAGCCAUUCAGAACGGUCUCCAAAAGCGCUUUGUAGAAAUGAUGGAGGAACCACAGCUUCUUGCUGCUGUACGUCUUGGACUGACAAAGCCAAUGUCAUCACCGCCUGUAUGAUUUAUUUACUCCAAAAGGUUUAGCCUACCUGAAGAAUAAUCUUGACACAAUCACACAGGACGAGACUGAGCAUCUAAGGCAGCAUUCAUCUGAUGAAGAAGAUUUCUUCUCAUCAUUGACAACCAAACGGUCAGAAGGUACAGGGGAGCUGGAUGGGUAUCUUGCUAGUCCAUCGGACAAAAUUGAUUUACUUCAUUUGUUUCCGUACAUAAAGAAGUUGUCCCUCAAACUCAACACAUGCCUGCCUGCAUCUGCCGCCUGUGAGCGUCUUUUUACUACUCUUCACUGCAAAGCGAGCCGGGAUAGACUCGAUUAACUUAGAAAAUCAGCUCCUACUGGCACUGAAAGGCAAAUUCAGAGAGAAGUUAAGUGUUCAAUAGGUAGUUCCACAACAUUUGUAUAUGUGAAGUUGGAGAUUUAAUAUUAUAAUCAGCUGUGCUGGAUCUUAUCUUGUUGGUUAUUUUCUUGUGUUUUAUGGAACAUUUAGCCUGUCAAGCAUUACAUGUAAACAAUAUUACAUAUGCAGUAGUAUAUAGAUAAAUGAUGUACAUUUGUUUGUGAAGCUUGCAUUCAAUUGCCUCUCCCUUUUCACUUUAACUUCCAUUCUUGUAAAAUGGGAAGAAGAAUAACCAUAAUUGAAAUAGCAAAUUAUUUUAGAAGUACCUUGUAACUUUUACUCUGAGUACUUUUUAAAUGUGCUACUUUUACUUGUAGUAUUUUACACCAGUACUUUUACUUCUACUUGAUUACAAUUUCAUUAAAGUAACAGUACUUAUACUUGAGUAGGAAUUUACAGUACUCAUUCCAUGCCUGCUGUACAGUAAUACACAGUGACACACCUAUCUAUACCUUCCUCGAUAUGAUGCGUGCUCCCUUUAUUUCUGGGAGAAACAAUGGCAGGAAACAUUACAGAACGCAUCGUUCAGUUAACA